rnacentral:rRNA from 1 species
UACGAGUACCCCAAGCGUUGUCCGGAUUUACUGGGCGUAAAGGGUCCGUAGGCGGUCAGUCAAGUUUUUUGUUAAAUCUUCAGGGCUUAACCUUGAAGCUGCAAAAAAUACUGAUUGACUUGAGGGGGUUAGGGGCUGAUGGAACGGUCGGUGUAGGGGUGAAAUCCGUUGAUAUCGACCGGAACACCAAAAGCGAAGGCAUUCAGCUGGGACCACCCUGACGCUGAGGGACGAAAGCGUGGGGAGCAAAAAGG